rnacentral:rRNA from 1 species
UACGUAGGGGGCAAGCGUUAUCCGGAUUUACUGGGUGUAAAGGGAGCGUAGACGGCAGGGCAAGUCUGGAGUGAAAGGCAGGGGCUUAACCCCUGAACUGCUUUGGAAACUGCCAUGCUAGAGUGCUGGAGAGGUAAGUGGAAUUCCUAGUGUAGCGGUGAAAUGCGUAGAUAUUAGGAGGAACACCAGUGGCGAAGGCGGCUUACUGGACUGUAAAUGACGCUGAUGCGCGAAAGCGUGGGGAGCAAACAGG